GUGGGGAAUAUUGGACAAUGGGCGAAAGCCUGAUCCAGCCAUGCCGCGUGUGUGAAGAAGGUCUUCGGAUUGUAAAGCACUUUAAGUUGGGAGGAAGGGCAGUAAGUUAAUACCUUGCUGUUUUGACGUUACCGACAGAAUAAGCACCGGCUAACUUCGUGCCAGCAGCCGCGGUACUACGAAGGGUGCAAGCGUUAAUCGGAAUUACUGGGCGUAAAGCGCGCGUAGGUGGUUUUGUAAGUUGGAGGUGAAAUCCCCGGGCUCAACCUGGGAACUGCCUCCAAAACUGGAUGACUAGAGUAAGGUAGAGGGUAGUGGAAUUUCCUGUGUAGCGGUGAAAUGCGUAGAUAUAGGAAGGAACACCAGUGGCGAAGGCGACUACCUGGACUGAUACUGACACUGAGGUGCGAAAGCGUGGGGAGCAAACAGGAUUAGAUACCCUAGUAGUCC
rnacentral:rRNA from 1 species